rnacentral:ribozyme from 1 species
ACUACUCUUUAAAAAUGAGCUACUUCACACAACACAACAAGGAAAAUAUAGGCUCUUCAUACAAUUAUUCUAUUUAAUGAGUCCACGGCGUGCAGGACGCUAUCACAUCUAUUCAAAUGUCUGGGGGAGUACACGGAGAAACCCAAUCCCUUGGAAGGUUAGAUGAUAUGGCUGAAACUGAAAGGA